rnacentral:rRNA from 1 species
GACGAACGCUGGCGGCGUGCCUAAUACAUGCAAGUAGAACGCAGUUGCGAACGGGUGAGUCACGCGUAGGUACCUGCCUCAUAGCGGGGCAUAACUAUUGGAAACGAUAGCUCAUACCGCAUACUGUGAGAUGACCCUGCGUUGUAUUAGCUAGUUGGUGAGGUAAAGGGUCACCAAGGGGACGAUACAGAGCCGACCUGAUCGGGUGAGCGGGCACACUGGGACUGAGACACGGCCCAGACUCCGACGGGAGGCAGAAGUAGGGAAUCUUCGGCAAUGGACGGAAGUCUGACCGAGCAACGCCGCGGUAGUGAAGAAGGUUUUCGGAUCGUAAAGCUCUGUUGUUAGAGAAGCGUUAACUAACCAGAAAGGGACGGCUAACUACGUGCCAGCAGCCGCGGUAAUAC